GUGGGGAAUCUUGCGCAAUGGGCGAAAGCCUGACGCAGCCAUGCCGCGUGAAUGAUGAAGGUCUUAGGAUUGUAAAAUUCUUUCACCGGGGACGAUAAUGACGGUACCCGGAGAAGAAGCUCCGGCUAACUUCGUGCCAGCAGCCGCGGUAAUACGAAGGGGGCUAGCGUUGCUCGGAAUUACUGGGCGUAAAGGGCGCGUAGGCGGACAGCUUAGUCAGAGGUGAAAGCCCAGGGCUCAACCUUGGAAUUGCCUUUGAUACUGGCUGUCUUGAGUUUGGGAGAGGUGAGUGGAACUCCGAGUGUAGAGGUGAAAUUCGUAGAUAUUCGGAAGAACACCAGUGGCGAAGGCGGCUCACUGGCUCGAUACUGACGCUGAGGUGCGAAAGCGUGGGGAGCAAACAGGAUUAGAUACCCUAGUAGUCC
rnacentral:rRNA from 1 species